GACGAACGCUGGCGGCGUGCUUAACACAUGCAAGUCGAACGGAGUGGCGAACGGGUGAGUAACACGUGGGUGAUAUGCCUUGCACUUGGGGCUAAGCUUGGGAAACUGGGUCUAAUACCGGAUAGUGCAAGAUGAGCUCGCGGCCUAUCAGCUUGUUGGUGGGGUAAUGGCAUACCAAGGCGUCGAAGGGUCGCCGGCCUGAGAGGGUGUACGGCCACAUUAGGCCUGAGAUACGGCCCAGAGGCGUACAGGAGGCAGCAGGGGGGAAUAUUGCACAAUGAGCGGGCGCGUGAGGCAGCGGCGCUGGGUGGGGGAUGAAGGCCUUCGGGUUGUAAACUCCUUUCGACAGGGACGCGGUACCUGUAUAAGAAGCACCGGCUAACUACGUGCCAGCAGCCGCGGUAAUAC
rnacentral:rRNA from 1 species